GUUAAGCGACUAAGCGUACACGGUGGAUGCCCUGGCAGUCAGAGGCGAUGAAGGACGUGCUAAUCUGCGAUAAGCGUCGGUAAGGUGAUAUGAACCGUUAUAACCGGCGAUUUCCGAAUGGGGAAACCCAGUGUGUUUCGACACACUAUCAUUAACUGAAUCCAUAGGUUAAUGAGGCGAACCGGGGGAACUGAAACAUCUAAGUACCCCGAGGAAAAGAAAUCAACCGAGAUUCCCCCAGUAGCGGCGAGCGAACGGGGAGCAGCCCAGAGCCUGAAUCAGUGUGUGUGUUAGUGGAAGCGUCUGGAAAGGCGCGCGAUACAGGGUGACAGCCCCGUACACAAAAAUGCACAUGCUGUGAGCUCGAUGAGUAGGGCGGGACACGUGGUAUCCUGUCUGAAUAUGGGGGGACCAUCCUCCAAGGCUAAAUACUCCUGACUGACCGAUAGUGAACCAGUACCGUGAGGGAAAGGCGAAAAGAACCCCGGCGAGGGGAGUGAAAAAGAACCUGAAACCGUGUACGUACAAGCAGUGGGAGCACGCUUAGGCGUGUGACUGCGUACCUUUUGUAUAAUGGGUCAGCGACUUAUAUUCUGUAGCAAGGUUAACCGAAUAGGGGAGCCGAAGGGAAACCGAGUCUUAACUGGGCGUUAAGUUGCAGGGUAUAGACCCGAAACCCGGUGAUCUAGCCAUGGGCAGGUUGAAGGUUGGGUAACACUAACUGGAGGACCGAACCGACUAAUGUUGAAAAAUUAGCGGAUGACUUGUGGCUGGGGGUGAAAGGCCAAUCAAACCGGGAGAUAGCUGGUUCUCCCCGAAAGCUAUUUAGGUAGCGCCUCGUGAAUUCAUCUCCGGGGGUAGAGCACUGUUUCGGCAAGGGGGUCAUCCCGACUUACCAACCCGAUGCAAACUGCGAAUACCGGAGAAUGUUAUCACGGGAGACACACGGCGGGUGCUAACGUCCGUCGUGAAGAGGGAAACAACCCAGACCGCCAGCUAAGGUCCCAAAGUCAUGGUUAAGUGGGAAACGAUGUGGGAAGGCCCAGACAGCCAGGAUGUUGGCUUAGAAGCAGCCAUCAUUUAAAGAAAGCGUAAUAGCUCACUGGUCGAGUCGGCCUGCGCGGAAGAUGUAACGGGGCUAAACCAUGCACCGAAGCUGCGGCAGCGACGCUGAUGCGUUGUUGGGUAGGGGAGCGUUCUGUAAGCCUGCGAAGGUGUGCUGUGAGGCAUGCUGGAGGUAUCAGAAGUGCGAAUGCUGACAUAAGUAACGAUAAAGCGGGUGAAAAGCCCGCUCGCCGGAAGACCAAGGGUUCCUGUCCAACGUUAAUCGGGGCAGGGUGAGUCGACCCCUAAGGCGAGGCCGAAAGGCGUAGUCGAUGGGAAACAGGUUAAUAUUCCUGUACUUGGUGUUACUGCGAAGGGGGGACGGAGAAGGCUAUGUUGGCCGGGCGACGGUUGUCCCGGUUUAAGCGUGUAGGCUGGUUUUCCAGGCAAAUCCGGAAAAUCAAGGCUGAGGCGUGAUGACGAGGCACUACGGUGCUGAAGCAACAAAUGCCCUGCUUCCAGGAAAAGCCUCUAAGCAUCAGGUAACAUCAAAUCGUACCCCAAACCGACACAGGUGGUCAGGUAGAGAAUACCAAGGCGCUUGAGAGAACUCGGGUGAAGGAACUAGGCAAAAUGGUGCCGUAACUUCGGGAGAAGGCACGCUGAUAUGUAGGUGAGGUCCCUCGCGGAUGGAGCUGAAAUCAGUCGAAGAUACCAGCUGGCUGCAACUGUUUAUUAAAAACACAGCACUGUGCAAACACGAAAGUGGACGUAUACGGUGUGACGCCUGCCCGGUGCCGGA
rnacentral:rRNA from 1 species